GAUGAACGCUGGCGGCGUGCCUAAUACAUGCAAGUCGAGCGAACAGACGAGGAGCUUGCUCCUUUGACGUUAGCGGCGGACGGGUGAGUAACACGUAGGUAACCUACCUAUAAGACUGGGAUAACUUCGGGAAACCGGAGCUAAUACCGGAUAAUAUUUCGAACCGCAUGGUUCGAUAGUGAAAGAUGGCUUUGCUAUCACUUAUAGAUGGACCUGCGCCGUAUUAGCUAGUUGGUAAGGUAAUGGCUUACCAAGGCAACGAUACGUAGCCGACCUGAGAGGGUGAUCGGCCACACUGGAACUGAGACACGGUCCAGACUCCUACGGGAGGCAGCAGUAGGGAAUCUUCCGCAAUGGGCGAAAGCCUGACGGAGCAACGCCGCGUGAGUGAUGAAGGUCUUCGGAUCGUAAAACUCUGUUAUUAGGGAAGAACAAACGUGUAAGUAACUGUGCACGUCUUGACGGUACCUAAUCAGAAAGCCACGGCUAACUACGUG
rnacentral:rRNA from 1 species